CCGGUGGCUGAAAACACAAUCAUCUCGGGAUGAACGAGUGGCCAAUUUCCGGCCCAGCAGCGGUCCACUUAAAAAUCAUUCCUUCCUUGCCCUUCAAGUUUAUACUCGUCAGACAUAUGAUACUUCAUCAGAAGUGUCCACUUAAUUUGAAGGCGGAGGGUAUAGGGUGUGUCUUUGUAGUGUUUGGACUGUGAACUAGUGCCCAUAAUGAGUAUUUGGUCGGAGGUUGAGAAAUCUCAGAAAAAUUGUCUAUAUUUUCCCGUUUCUUUCUGUCACGUUGUAAAUAUUUACCCCAAAACAAACCUGGAAAUAUAGACAAUACUAUAUUGUGUAUAUAAACAUCAGUAUGGGAUAUGCAUGAAAAUAAAAAAAACAGGCAUUAUAUAUGCUAGCCAUAAAGUUGUAAGGACCCAGCCUUAUAAAUUGAACGCACCCUCGUUCCUGAGGCCUUUCUCCCGUCAAGACGCUCGCGUGAGCAGGUGAAAAAGAUGAGCGCAAAAUGAAGAACGGCAUUAAAUGUUUUUUAUGUCAGUAAAAGUACAACCAAGACGGGCUGGCGAUACGUGUUGUAAAGUCAGCGAAUGCGGUUGAGAGGUUGCCCAAGCCACAAUAAGUUUGCAAGACUGCUCUCAGCCAACAUUGAAAUGCGUAUCGCAAGCAGUCUAGGAUCGCUAUUCAAGGAAAAUGGAGGGCAGUUCCAAACAGGCUCUAGCACUUGCAUGCUCCAGAAGAGGCUUGCUUCCCACGUUCUGCCCUGUGUGAAGAAGAGAUGGCGAACUCCUACUGAGAAUGAUGGAUGGACGAUGGGUGCAUUCUGUUACAAGACUCUUAACUCUUUGAUGUCAAAUGCUACUUGGGUAAUGGGCAAAAUGGCGUCCCAAGUGGUGUGCAUCUAAAACGGCAUCCGUUGCUGCAUGCUCCAGAAGAGGCUUGCUUCCCACGUUCUGCCCUGUGUGAAGAAGAGAUGGCGAACUCCUACUGAGAAUGAUGGAUACAUUCUGUCGCAGAACUCCAAUCCAUUGAUGACCAAAGUUAUACUUGGAUACUGGACAAGAUGACGUCCCAAUGGUGUGCAUCUGAAACUGCAUCCGUUGAUGCGUGCUCAGUCUCCCAGAGAGACUUGCCUCCAGUGUCCUGCCCUGAGGGAAGAAGAUAUGGCUGGAUCCCAAUGAGAUGGCGAACUCCUACAGAAAGUGGGAUGGAAGAUGGAUACAUUCUGUUGCAAGGCUCCAACCCCCUUGAUAUUUGGUCCAGCUGCCUGAUGGCAAUCUACUUGGCGGUCUUGCUGCCGUUGUGGCAAUGCGAAUGUUUGACUGGGUUUGCAAUGUUGAGGUGCCGAGACAACAGAUGACACCAGGAUUACUUGAGGACAUUGACAGGACUUGAGGAUGAUGCCGAUGCUUGUUGAAGAGCUUCCGUCGUGAAAAGAGCUGUUCGCCAAGGAGGCAUUCCAUUGUGUGGACUGUGUAUCCAUGGCUGUAUUUUGUGCCAAUGGCAAAUUAACUUUGAUUUGAUCUCCUAAAGGCGCCAAGAGUCAAGUCAUGUAGGUGGUAUUCCUCUUGACGUUGUCCUUGGACUCCCUUCUACUACAGUCCCCCCCCCCCCCCCCCCCCCUAAGUAAAGUACUUUGACAACUGCUGAUGUAAAAACAAAAAGUUUCUGAUAAUAAACUUUUAAAUUGCCACCAAUAAAAAGUAAUUUGAUUGCAGCAUUUGAAUAAAGAAUGAACGGUCAUCCUUG